CCGGAAAACGCUGGACGGCGUGCCUGGUAAUGCUCGUCGGGCGGAUCGAUGGGAGCUUGCUCCCUGAGAUCAGCGGCGGACGGGUGAGUAACACGUGGGUAACCUGCCUGUAAGACUGGGAUAACUCCGGGAAACCGGGGCUAAUACCGGAUAACACCUACCCCCGCAUGGGGGAAGGUUGAAAGGUGGCUUCGGCUAUCACUUACAGAUGGACCCGCGGCGCAUUAGCUAGUUGGUGAGGUAAUGGCUCACCAAGGCGACGAUGCGUAGCCGACCUGAGAGGGUGAUCGGCCACACUGGGACUGAGACACGGCCCAGACUCCUACGGGAGGCAGCAGUAGGGAAUCUUCCGCAAUGGACGAAAGUCUGACGGAGCAACGCCGCGUGAGUGAAGAAGGUUUUCGGAUCGUAAAACUCUGUUGUUAGGGAAGAACAAGUGCCGUUCGAAUAGGGCGGCGCCUUGACGGUACCUAACCAGAAAGCCACGGCUAACUACGUGCCAGCAGCCGCGGUAAUACGUAGGUGGCAAGCGUUGUCCGGAAUUAUUGGGCGUAAAGCGCGCGCAGGUGGUUUCUUAAGUCUGAUGUGAAAGCCCACGGCUCAACCGUGAGGGUCAUUGCAAACUGGGGAACUUGAGUGCAGAAGAGGAAAGUGGAAUUCCAAGUGUAGCGGUGAAUGCGUAGAUAUUUGGAGGAACACCAGUGGCGAAGGCGACUUUCUGGUCUGUAACUGACACUGAGGCCGCGAAAGCGUGGGGAGCAAACAGGAUUAGAUACCUGGUAGUCCACGCCGUAACGAUGAGUGCUAUGGUAGAGGGUUUCCGCCAUUUAUGCUGCAGCUAACGCAUAAGCACUCCGCCUGGGGGAUACGUCGCAGACUGAUCA
rnacentral:rRNA from 2 species